rfam:Oryza barthii chromosome 1, whole genome shotgun sequence.
AAUAAAUACAGUUUUGCACUCUUCACGUUCAACGUUUGACCAUUCGUCUUAUUUAAAUUUUUUUAGAUUAGUAUUUUUUUAUUGCUAUUAGAUGAUAAAACAUGAAUAGUACUUUAUGUGUGACUAAUUUUUUAAAAAAAUUUCAUAAAUUUUUUAAAUAAGAUGAACGGUCAAACAUUAGAUAUGGAUAUUCACAGCUGCACUUAUU